AGCAGCAGCGGUGAUUCUGAUUCUGAAAGCGGCAAUGAGAUCUGCUGCAAAUUGGGUGUGGUUCUCAUUAAGCAGGGAGGUGAAGAAGCGUACUGGCUCCAAGAAUCACUAAGGGAAACCAUUCACUGUAGAGUGAUGUGUGGUCUGAUUAUUAAGCGGCGAAAG
rnacentral:rRNA from 1 species